CCUACGGGGGGCAGCAGUCGAGAAUCAUUCACAAUGGGGGAAACCCUGAUGGUGCGACGCCGCGUGGGGGAAUGAAGGUCUUCGGAUUGUAAACCCCUGUUAUGUGGGAGCAAAUUAAAAAGAUAGUACCACAAGAGGAAGAGACGGCUAACUGUGUGCCAGCAGCCGCGGUAAUACAGGGGUCUCAAGCGGUGUUCGGAAGCACUGGGCGUAAAGCGUGCGUAGGCUGUUUCGUAAGGCGGGUGUGAAAGGCGCGGGCUCAACCCGCGGCGGGCAGAUGAUACUGCGAGACUAGAGUAGUGGAGGGGGAACCGGAAUGCUCGGUGUAGCAGUGAAAUGCGUAGAUAUCGAGAGGAACACUCGUGGCGAAGGCGGGGUCCUGGA
rnacentral:rRNA from 1 species